CUAUCAACUAGAUGGUAGUAUAUAGGACUACCAUGGUUGUAACGGGUAACGGAGGAUUAGGGUUUGAUUCCGGAGAAGGAGCAUGAGAAACGGCUACUAUUUCUAAGGAAAGCAGCAGGCGCGCAAAUUAUUCAAUGGAAACAAUUUUCCGAAGUAGUGACAAAAAAUAUCAAUGCUGGAUACUAUGUAUCUAGUAAUUGGAAUGAGUACAAUUUAAAUCCCUUAACAAGUAACAAUUAGAGGGCAAGUCUGGUGCCAGCAGCCGCGGUAAUUCCAGCUCUAAUAGCGUAUAUUAAUAUUGUUGCAGUUAAAAAGCUCGUAGUUGAAAUUUGGGACUUUAUUAUAUUGGUUUAUCUUUUGAUGAACUGUAUAAUGGGUUUCUUCCUACUAGAAUUCGAUUCUGUUCUUAAUUGAAUGGAGUAGCUAUCUCUCGGGGUGGUCAGUUGGUUGUUAUGCCUCCACUAAUGAGCAGAGAGGAGUAAAAUCUUCAAAGUGAGUUAUGUGGGUCAAGGUAUAGUGAUGAAUUGGAGUUCUAGUUCAUUUACUUUGAGAAAAUUAGAGUGUUUAAAGCAGCCUCUUGGGGCACUGAAUACAUUAGCAUGGGAUAAUAAAAUAGGAUCUUCACAAUAUAUUUUAUUGGUUUAAAUUGCGUAUGAAGAUAAUGAUUAAUAGGGACAGUUGGGGGUAUUCAUAUUGGGUGGUUAGCGGUGAAAUGCUCGGAUCCAUUCAAGAUGAACUAAAGCGAAAGCAUUUACCAAGGAUGUUUUCAUUAAUCAAGAACGAAAGUUAAGGGAUCGAAGACGAUUAGAUACCGUCGUAGUCUUAACUAUAAACUAUGCCGACCAGGGAUAUGAGUGUUAGGAUAUAUGAAAGUAUAUCAAUUUCUUCUAUGGACUGUGAGAAAUCAUAAGUUUUGGGUUCUGGGGGGAGUAUGUCGCAAGCUGAAACUUAAGGAAUGACGGAGGGGCACCACAGAAUGGAGCGGCGGCUUAUUGGAGCUCAACACCGCAAACUUACAGUCGAACGUGAAAAGAUGCAAGAUUAUGCCCUCCUGAAUUGAUGGUGGGUGCACGCCGUUC
rnacentral:rRNA from 1 species